UGCAGCCUUGUCAAAUGCAGUGCUCUCUUCCUCAGUGAUGGGUACUGACCCAAAUAGCUGCCACAGAAGCACCUGUAGUUCAUGCCAUGUCUGUCUAGAGAGGGGAUAAAAAUCUUCCACGGGCACCC
rfam:Chelonia mydas contig231648, whole genome shotgun sequence.